rnacentral:rRNA from 1 species
CUUAACACAUGCAAGUCGAGGGGCAGCAUUUCAGUUUGCUUGCAAACUGGAGAUGGCGACCGGCGCACGGGUGAGUAACACGUAUCCAACCUGCCGAUAACUCGGGGAUAGCCUUUCGAAAGAAAGAUUAAUACCCGAUGGUAUAAUCAGACCGCAUGGUCUUGUUAUUAAAGAAUUUCGGUUAUCGAUGGGGAUGCGUUCCAUUAGGCAGUUGGUGAGGUAACGGCUCACCAAACCUUCGAUGGAUAGGGGUUCUGAGAGGAAGGUCCCCCACAUUGGAACUGAGACACGGUCCAAACUCCUACGGGAGGCAGCAGUGAGGAAUAUUGGUCAAUGGGCGCAGGCCUGAACCAGCCAAGUAGCGUGAAGGAUGACUGCCCUAUGGGUUGUAAACUUCUUUUAUAUGGGAAUAAAGUUUUCCACGUGUGGAAUUUUGUAUGUACCAUAUGAAUAAGGAUCGGCUAACUCCGUGCCAGCAGCCGCGGUAAUACGGAGGAUCCGAGCGCUAUCCGGAUUUAUUGGGUUUAAAGGGAGCGUAGGUGGACAGUUAAGUCAGUUGUGAAAGUUUGCGGCUCAACCGUAAAAUUGCAGUUGAUACUGGCUGUCUUGAGUACAGUAGAGGUGGGCGGAAUUCGUGGUGUAGCGGUGAAAUGCUUAGAUAUCACGAAGAACUCCGAUUGCGAAGGCAGCUCACUGGACUGCAACUGACACUGAUGCUCGAAAGUGUGGGUAUCAAACAGGAUUAGAUACCCUGGUAGUCCACACAGUAAACGAUGAAUACUCGCUGUUUGCGAUAUACAGUAAGCGGCCAAGCGAAAGCAUUAAGUAUUCCACCUGGGGAGUACGCCGGCAACGGUGAAACUCAAAGGAAUUGACGGGGGCCCGCACAAGCGGAGGAACAUGUGGUUUAAUUCGAUGAUACGCGAGGAACCUUACCCGGGCUUAAAUUGCAUUUGAAUAUAUUGGAAACAGUAUAGCCGUAAGGCAAAUGUGAAGGUGCUGCAUGGUUGUCGUCAGCUCGUGCCGUGAGGUGUCGGCUUAAGUGCCAUAACGAGCGCAACCCUUAUCUUUAGUUACUAACAGGUCAUGCUGAGGACUCUAGAGAGACUGCCGUCGUAAGAUGUGAGGAAGGUGGGGAUGACGUCAAAUCAGCACGGCCCUUACGUCCGGGGCUACACACGUGUUACAAUGGGGGGUACAGAAGGCAGCUACCUGGUGACAGGAUGCUAAUCCCAAAAGCCUCUCUCAGUUCGGAUCGAAGUCUGCAACCCGACUUCGUGAAGCUGGAUUCGCUAGUAAUCGCGCAUCAGCCAUGGCGCGGUGAAUACGUUCCCGGGCCUUGUACACACCGCCCGUCAAGCCAUGAAAGCCGGGGGUACCUGAAGUACGUAACCGCAAGGAGCGUCCUAGGGUAAAACUGGUAAUUGGGGCUAAGUCGU